rnacentral:rRNA from 1 species
UACCUGGUUGAUCCUGCCAGUAGUCAUAUGCUUGUCUCAAAGAUUAAGCCAUGCAUGUCUAAGUAUAAGCAAUUAUACCGCGAAACUGCGAAUGGCUCAUUAUAUAAGUUAUCGUUUAUUUGAUAGCACAUUACUACAUGGAUAACUGUGGUAAUUCUAGAGCUAAUACAUGCUAAAAAUCCCGACUUCGGAAGGGAUGUAUUUAUUAGAU